rnacentral:rRNA from 1 species
NNACGAACGCUGGCGGCGUGCCUAACACAUGCAAGUCGCACGGGACCCGCAAGGGUUCAGUGGCGGACGGGUGCGUAACACGUGAGGAACAUGCCUAUCGGCGGGGGAUAGCCGGCCCAACGGCCGGGUAAUACCGCGUACGCUCACCGGGGGGCAUCCCCUGGUGAGGAAAGCAGCAAUGCACCGAUAGAGUGCCUCGCGGCCUAUCAGCUAGUUGGUGAGGUAAUGGCUCACCAAGGCUACGACGGGUAGCUGGUCUGAGAGGAUGAUCAGCCACAUUGGGACUGAGACACGGCCCAGACUCCUACGGGAGGCAGCAGUGGGGAAUCUUGCGCAAUGGCCGAAAGGCUGACGCAGCGACGCCGCGUGUGGGAUGACGGCCUUCGGGUUGUAAACCACUGUCGGAAGGGACGAAUGGCCCGCAAGGGCAGUGACGGUACCUUCAAAGGAAGCACCGGCUAACUCCGUGCCAGCAGCCGCGGUAAUACGGAGGGUGCGAGCGUUGUCCGGAAUCACUGGGCGUAAAGGGCGCGUAGGCGGCCCGGUAAGUAGGGGGUGAAAUCUUGCGGCUUAACCGCAAGGCUGCCUUCUAGACUGCCAGGCUCGAGCACAGUAGAGGCAGGUGGAAUUCCCGGUGUAGCGGUGGAAUGCGUAGAGAUCGGGAAGAACAUCNNNGGCGAAGGCGGCCUGCUGGACUGUAGCUGACGCUCAUGNNCGAAAGCGUGGGUAGCAAACAGGAUUAGAUACCCUGGUAGUCCACGCCCUAAACGAUGCGAACUAGGUGUUGGGGAAGGAGACUUUCUUAGUACCGCAGCUAACGGAUGAAGUUCGCCGCCUGGGGAGUACGGUCGCAAGAUUAAAACUCAAAGGAAUUGACGGGGACCCGCACAAGCGGUGGAUGAUGUGGAUUAAUUCGAUGCAACGCGAAAAACCUUACCUACCCUUGACAUGCCAGGAACUUGGUAGAGAUACCUUGGUGCCCGAAAGGGAGCCUGGACACAGGUGCUGCAUGGCUGUCGUCAGCUCGUGUCGUGAGAUGUUGGGUUAAGUCCCGCAACGAGCGCAACCCUUGUCAUUAGUUGCCAUCAUUUAGUUGGGCACUCUAAUGAGACUGCCGGUGACAAACCGGAGGAAGGUGGGGAUGACGUCAAGUCCUCAUGGCCCUUAUGGGUAGGGCUUCACACGUCAUACAAUGGUCGGUACAGAGGGUUGCCAAGCCGCGAGGUGGAGCCAAUCCCAGAAAGCCGAUCGUAGUCCGGAUCGGAGUCUACAACUCGACUCCGUGAAGUCGGAAUCGCUAGUAAUCGUGGAUCAGCAUGCCACGGUGAAUACGUUCCCGGGUC